GACGAACCGUGCGAACGUUAUUCGGAAUCACUGGGCUUAAAGCGCGUGUAGGCGGGACGGCACGUCGGUCGCUGAAAGCCCCCGGCUCAACCGGGGAACGGGCGCCGAUACGACCGUCCUGGAGGGACGUAGGGGGACCUGGAACUUCCGGUGUAGCGGUGAAAUGCGUAGAUAUCGGAAGGAACAUCAGUGGCGAAAGCGGCUUCCUGGACCAGUACCGACGUUCAGGCACGAAAGCGUGGGGAGCAAACAGG
rnacentral:rRNA from 1 species